CAGAUUUAAAACCUCGCUAAGGUGUGGAGUUUCUGGUCAAGAGCCAAGCAGCCAGGGCUCGGUAGGUGCUGCAGCUGAGGUGACUGAGCAGAGUCAGCAUUCUGUAGCAUUUCUGUCCCCCGCGGGGCACAGAGGAAGUGUAGAGACCUGCUAGAGGUAACUUUGUUAAGUUUUGGAUGUGCUGUGCUUUGUCCUGGCUCAUGGUCUACCUUUAAAAUGAAAUGUGGUGCUCUGAGGGCAGAGACCUGUGAACAGGUUGUGGACACUGGAACACCUUUGAAAAUGCUCAGCCUUAGCUUGAGUUCAGUUUUGAUCUAUGUCCAGGUUUCUAGCAUUUUGUUUUCCCUGCUUUCUAAUUGUUUGCUGACACUUUCCUUUCAGCUCUCACUGAAAGCUGUGUCCUGCAGCUCCCUGCAGUGCCGGCUUUGCCGAGGAGGAAGCAGGGAGAGCACUUGAGAUCCUUUUCUAUUUCCUCCCUGUCCUGAAAGGAUUUUGUUCAACCAACCUUUAGAUAGAAAGCAAGCAAACUUUGUCCUCAGGCAAGCUCAUGCAUGGUGCAGCUUCCUAGAAAGCCUUGGCAGUGUGCACAGGAGAGACACUCCAUCCUCCGUGCUCUCCUGGUACCCAGCUACCAGCAAAGCUGUGCAAAGCACACCAUUAAUGGUUCUGUUAGUUUAAUAAACACAGCUCUCCUGGCUUCCUAAUGAAUUCCAAGUAAUGUUGUGAGUGUGUCUGCCCUGCUGCUAAUGAGCUCAUCCUUCAUGAGCCUUGACAGCGAACUUCUGCUUGGGUGAUGAGUGAGAGCUCAUGGGACCGGCGUUGGGUAACGGGGGCAGAUGAUUCCUCUGACAGGGCUCUGACAGGGCACUGACAGGCCAGUUUCACUUUCCUGGCCCCUGGCACUGCUGUGGCUUUGGCCGAGCAGCAGCUGGCAUGUCAUGGCAGGUGCCUUCAGGGGCUGCUCUUACUUCAAACUCCUCACACAGGUCUUUGCUCAGGCAAGUUUUCAUCUUGCUCCAUAACUCUGGUCAGUGGCUGGAAGUGCAAAUUCCAUGUGUGAGAGACAUUCUUUCACGUCAGGUAACACAUGAAGGCUGGAAUGAAAUUGGAGGGUAUAUUCACCAAUUACAGCAAAAAUAUAAACAUGUAAAUGUUCUUUUACUCAUUUUUUGUUUUUUUUUUCCUUGUAACUUUCCAGGCUGUGAAUGAGACCAGUGGCUGCUUGCAGACAAACAGAGUCCUAGAAAAGUAUUAUCUCUCCACCAUGUAUACCCUUGAGUUCAUUUUAGGCUUCACUGGAAACACCAUUGUGGUGUUUGGCUAUAUCUUCUGCCUGAAAAAAUGGAAAAGCGGCAACAUCUACCUGUUCAAUUUAUCCCUCUCAGAUUUGUUAUUUCUGUGUACUCUGCCAAUGCUGGUGAACAGCUACUCCCGAGAUCGGUGGGCGAAGGAGGACAUCCUGUGCCACAGCAACAGAUUCCUGCUGCAUGCCAACCUGUACAGCAGCAUCCUCUUCCUCACUGCAGUCAGCGUGGACCAGUACAUGCUCAUAAAACACCCCUUCAGGGACCACGUCCUGCAGAAGAGGAGAACGGCUGUUCUGGUGUCCAUUGCCAUAUGGAUCGGGGUGAUCCUGGAGCUGCUGCCACUGGUGCAUUUCCUGGAGCCUCUAACACCUGCCAACAAUUACAAGUGUCUUGAUUACGCGAGCUCUGGAGACCCCACAAAAAACCUCAUCUACAGCGUGUUCCUGACUGUCUUCGGGUUCCUCAUCCCUCUCUUGAUCAUGUGCUGCUUCUACGUGAAGAUGGUUCGUUUUCUUAAAAACAGGAGCGAGCAACUCAGUUCUCCCCUGGCCCUGGAGAAGCCUCUCACCCUCGUGAUGCUCACCAUGGGGAUCUUCUCCCUGCUCUUCACUCCCUACCACGUCAUGCGCAACGUCCGACUCGCUUCCCGAAUACCGGCCUUGAACGUCCCCGAGUGCACGCAGGGCAUCAUCAGCGCCAUUUACGUCAUCACGAGGCCCUUUGCCUUUCUAAACAGUGCCAUUAAUCCUGUUUUCUAUUUCCUCAUGGGUGACCACUUCAGGGAGAUGCUGAUGGCCAAAACAAGGCAGCUCUUGCGCAGGCUGACAAUCACCAGGAAGUGACUGAGGACGGAGACCCCCCUGGAGUGGGUGACGGCAGGGAGGACACUCUCUGAGGGAGAACAUUCAGCCAUGUGCCUUUUUAUUAGAUAACUUUGUGCUAUAGAAUAAGUGUAAGCUGAUUGUGUUCCUGUAAAUGCACCUGUUGCCUUAUUGUGCAGGAGACCUGCUGAGCUGCCUGCAGCAAACCAGGGGAGAUGCUCACUCCCAGCAGAGAUAGGAAGAGCGU